UCCACGCCCUAAACGAUGAAUGCUAGUCGUCGGAAAGCUCGUCUUUUCGGUGAUGCAGUUAACACAUUAAGCAUUCCGCCUGGGGAGUACGGUCGCAAGAUUAAAACUCAAAGGAAUAGACGGGGACCCGCACAAGUGGUGGAGCAUGUGGUUUAAUUCGAAGAUACGCGAAGAACCUUACCAAGCCUUGACAUUGAUUGAAUUCACCAGAGAUGGAGAAGUGCCUUUCGAGG
rnacentral:rRNA from 1 species